GGCGGUGUCGCCAAGUGGUAAGGCACGGCUCUGCAAAAGCUGCACCCCCAGUUCAAAUCUGGGCACCGCCU
rnacentral:tRNA from 1 species